UACGUAGGCAGCGAGCGUUGUUCGGAGUUACUGGGCGUAAAGGGUGUGUAGGCGGUUGUUUAAGUUUGGUGUGAAAUCUCCCGGCUCAACUGGGAGGGUGCGCCGAAUACUGAAUGACUUCGAGUGCGGGGAGAGAGAGGUGAAUUCCUGGUGUAGCGGUGAAAUGCGUAGAUAUCAGGAGGAACACCGGUGGUGUAGACGGCUCUCUGGACCGUAACUGACGCUGAGACACGAAAGCGUGGGUAGCAAACAGG
rnacentral:rRNA from 1 species